UAAGAAAACUAAAGCGAUUCAUGGCAUAACAUUGCCCGCAAUAAAAUUGUUUCUUUAAAAUUAUAUAUCUUAUCCGAAUGACAAUAUUUUUCACUCCGAUUUUAGAUUCACCUUUAAACGGAAACUCAAGUCGAAAGUAUUUUGAUUAGCGCUCAAGCCAAGCGAAUCGAUGCGCGACUCCAAGUCUAUAUAAAAGUGAUGCACUCGCUUUCUCUCUGGCGAUAAACAUUCGACAGUUGUUCGAGAGCGUCUUUUUUGACAGGAAGUAGCUAAAAAGUCAACUUCUCUGCCAUCUGUAUAGCUGGAGUGAAACUUGGAAGUUAAGUUGCAAAGAAGAAUGAAGAGCCUGAUUGUAUGCUUGCUGUUAGUUGCGAUAGUCGUGGCUCAAGCCGCACCAUUGGAAGAUUUCCAGGAUGUUGAGCCGUUGGAAGUUGAGGCUAUGGAGGUAGCCAAACGGGGCGGACCUUUUCUGGCCACCUGCCUUAAACCAGGAACUAGAAUACAGUGUUUCUGCCUUUAUGAUGACGAAGGGAACAUACGCAGUUGGAUGAAAUGUAACUGAAAACGCAUCAUUCAUGACGAGCCCGGCGCAGCCCACGUUCUGAGGUAGUUUGUUCCCCGUCAAAGUUUAUUACCGAGCACUGGUCUUCUUGUAAGUGCAAAUAGUCAAUAAACUCUCUUAUUAAUAAUUCAAAAAUAUUUUUGUAGGCUAUUCCUUAGUCUGGCUUAUUUAAGUGAAUGUUUAGGAUCUACAUAACAGAUUGGAUUCUUCCGGUGCCCAGUUUUGGGUCUGCAUUUCGCUACUUGAGUGAAAAUUCUUUCUUUUCCGACUUGAAUGAAGAACCAGCACGAGAAAUUUAGAGAUGAAGAAAAACAAAUGGAUGAUAACACCCCGUAUAAAAGUUGCACACCUCUUGCCAAGUUGCGUCAAUGUAUAGAGGAUUUUUAUUCUCAUUAACAUGACUGAGAAAUUUCAUUUUAAAUUGAAAUUUUUGCAAAGUUAGUCGUUUAAAAACUGUUCAUUUUCGUAAACCAAAAUGGCAAAUAGCUUGCUUGAAAAUGGCAUGAUAACUUGUUACUCUAUUUUAAAAGAUUCCAGUUCUGUGAUUCCAGUUCAGUUUUGAUAGUAGUUUACGUAGUUUGGCAAGUAAAAUAAAUACGAAAGGUACACACUUUUCUAAAGGAAAUGGUGACAAAAAAAUCUGCUAUAACAUCCAUUGUAACAUAUUUUCUGGCUCCCUGUCUGUAGAAUUCCAAAAUGGCCACAGUAAUGGUGCUCGUUAUAAAACGACAUGUGCGAAUCAUAACUCUUUUAAAAUGGUUCUUGUGAAAUGGAAUGAAACAAACCCAUAAGUCAAAGUUACUGCUGGAGGUGAAGUCUACUUGAUCACUUUUCUUAUUCAAUGUCGUCAGUUAUAACCUGUAUAAUAGCCUCCCUGGAUAAUAUAAAUGCUAUAAGCCUACACUCCAGUUACGUCGUGCAAGAGGUAACCUUUCAAAAAUAUUUUUGUUUAUUUUUACCAAUUGAAUAAUACGACAACUUCAAGUUAUAUAGCAUAACUCCCCAAAUGAAGUUGCAUAGCAUAAGUGUUAUUCUCUAAUUAAACAGUAUCAAACUUGAUACUCACUGUUCAGUUUA